GCUUCAGUGGUUUAGUGGUAAAAUUAGCCGUUGCCAAGCCUGUCUUUAAAGUAAUAAAACACUCUAAAGUGACAGCUCAGUUUCGGCUAGCCCCGUGUUCGAUUCACGGCUGAUGCA